rnacentral:lncRNA from 1 species
CGACUUGGGCUCAAGAAUACCGAAAAGACACGGAUGAUAAAGGCUGCAGUAGUGAUGAAGCAGAGGCAUAGGAUUGUUGUUCAUGCCUCUAAUAUUCCAUGUUAGCACAUUCAUUGGACAACGUAGAAAGAGCCAUCCUCCUGAAGAGGAUCAUCAUCAUCCAUAUUCUCCCAUCUCUGGGAAGCCACCCUAGAAAUCUUCUUAGCAACGGUGGAAGAGGAGGAGUCGAUACUAAAUCACUGGAUAACAGCACCAUCAGACUGAGCCUGUGUUACCCUGUCCAAGAAUUCCAAGGGGAAAGCGGGGGCUGAACGUCGAGGUUCGACUGAAAACUUUCUUAGCCUGUUUUACCCUCAGUGGGAUAGCGCC